AACGCAUAUUGCGCUUCCUGGUAUUCCGGGAAGCAUGCCCGUUUCAGAAUCAAUAAAAACCCUCACCGAACCGGGUUGGCUUUUGGGCUUUCUCGGCCAGGUGGAUUUGGAUUUUUGCGGUAGCAAUCGUCUCAAAAUCAUUGUAUGUACACCAAACGAUUUCUUUUGGUUGUCCAAAGUGCAACAGAGCAAUCUAUUCGCUUAGACGGCUGAUCGACGUCUUGGACGUGCGUGCUCCUCACCAUAUUACGGACUACAGAUCGGUAUGAUCUGGAAAUCUGAGAACUUGAUCUGAAAUCGGGCAGGAAAACCCGCUGAACUUAA
rnacentral:misc_RNA from 1 species